rnacentral:rRNA from 1 species
CUGGCGGCGUGCUUAACACAUGCAAGUCGAGCGGGGACAUUUGAGAGCUUGCUCAAGGAUGUUCUAGCGGCGGACGGGUGAGUAACGCGUGAGCAACCUUUCCUCUACUGGGGGAAUAACACAGGGAAACUUGUACUAAUACCGCAUGGGACCACAGAGCCACAUGGCUUAGGGGUGAAAGAUUAAUCGGUAGAGGGUGGGCUCGCGUCUGAUUAGGUAGUUGGUGAGGUAACGGCCCACCAAGCCGACGAUCAGUAGCCGACCUGAGAGGGUGAUCGGCCACAUUGGGACUGAGACACGGCCCAAACUCCUACGGGAGGCAGCAGUGGGGAAUAUUGCACAAUGGGCGAAAGCCUGAUGCAGCGACGCCGCGUGAAUGAAGAAGUAUUUCGGUAUGUAAAGUUCUAUCAGCAGGGAAGAAAAUGACGGUACCUGACUAAGAAGCACCGGCUAAAUACGUG